ensembl:snoRNA
GAGCAAUGAUGAAAAUGUUUUACUACUGACCUUUAUAGCUAUGAAGCUUUCUAUACUUGAUCUGAGCUCA